CCUACGGGGGGCAGCAGUGGGGGAUAUUGCACAAUGGAGGAAACUCUGAUGCAGCGACGCCGCGUGAGGGAAGACGGUCUUCGGAUUGUAAACCUCUGUCUUUGGGGAAGAAAAUGACGGUACCCAAAGAGGAAGCUCCGGCUAACUACGUGCCAGCAGCCGCGGUAAUACGUAGGGAGCGAGCGUUGUCCGGAAUGACUGGGCGUAAAGGGAGUGUAGGCGGCAAUAUAAGUUAGAUGUGAAAUCCCGCGGCUCAACCGCGGAACUGCAUCUAAAACUAUAUAGCUGGAGUGCAGGAGAGGUGAGUGGAAUUCCUAGUGUAGCGGUGGAAUGCGUAGAUAUUAGGAGGAACACCAGAGGCGAAGGCGACUCACUGGACUGUAACUGACGCUGAGGCUCGAAAGCGUGGGGAGCAAACGGGAUUAGAUACCCUUGUAGUC
rnacentral:rRNA from 1 species